rnacentral:rRNA from 1 species
UACGUAGGGGGCAAGCGUUGUCCGGAAUUAUUGGGCGUAAAGCGCGUGUAGGCGGCUCGGUAAGUCUGCUGUGAAAGUCCAGGGCUCAACCCUGGAAUGCCGGUGGAUAGUGUCGAGCUCGAGUCCGGAAGAGGCGAGUGGAAUUCCUGGUGUAGCGGUGAAAUGCGCAGAUAUUAGGAAGAACACCAGUGGCGAAGGCGGCUCACUGGCCCGGUACUGACGCUGAGGCGCGAAAGCGUGGGGAGCAAACAGG